AGCGCUUGUAAUAUGUUUUGUCAGCUGGUGUACAAAGGCAGGUUAGACAGGUGCAAAAAUAAAUCCUCUUUUGCAACCCAGAACUCAUUGCUCAAUAUGCGUUUUGAUACAUACAAGAAGGAAUAUA